GCGUUGUUGUUGACAGGGUCGGCCAAGUGGUCAGCCAAGUUCUCCAAUGGACCCUUUCCAGUAACAAUGGCUUGAACAAAGAAUCCAAACAUAGAGAACAUAGCCAACCUACCAUUCUUGAUUUCCUUCACCUUGAGCUCAGCAAAUGCUUCCGGGUCAUCAGCCAAACCCAAUGGGUCAAAGCUUCCACCUGGGUAGAUUGGGUCUGUUACCUCACCGAGAGGUCCACCGGCAACUCUGUAACCCUCAACAGCACCCAUCAACACUACCUGGCAAGCCCAAAUAGCCA
rnacentral:lncRNA from 1 species